UACGGAGGGAGCUAGCGUUAUUCGGAAUUACUGGGCGUAAAGCGUACGUAGGCGGCUUUGUAAGUAAGAGGUGAAAGCCCGGAGCUCAACUCCGGAACUGCCUUUUAGACUGCAUCGCUUGAAUCCAGGAGAGGUGAGUGGAAUUCCGAGUGUAGAGGUGAAAUUCGUAGAUAUUCGCAAGAACACCAGUGGCGAAGGCGACUCACUGGCCCGAUACUGACUCUGAGGCACGAAAUCGUCGGGAGCAAACAGG
rnacentral:rRNA from 1 species